rnacentral:rRNA from 1 species
UACGUAGGGGGCAAGCGUUGUCCGGAUUUAUUGGGCGUAAAGAGCGUGUAGGCGGCCAUGCAGGUCCGUUGUGAAAACUCGAGGCUCAACCUCGAGACGCCGAUGGAAACCGCAUGGCUAGAGUCCGGAAGAGGAGAGUGGAAUUCCUGGUGUAGCGGUGAAAUGCGCAGAUAUCAGGAAGAACACCCGUGGCUAAGGCGGCUCUCUAGUACGGUACUGACGCUGAGACGCGAAGGCGUGGGGAGCGAACAGG